UGCUGUUGUAAUUAGCGCCCCUACCCCACACUACCCCCCCUCAUCGGUGCGGCCUCCUUUGGGGGCGAGACUCUGGGCUGCAUUUGUGCGACUUCUUCUUGGCCGCAUUUCAUUUGUGUUGGCUCAGCAGUAAGCGGAGGGCCAACAAUUGAAUUAGCUGCUGCUCGAAAAUAGCCCUGAACCUUGGCAGCGAUUUUCCCCCGCACACAAAUCCAAUUGGCAAGUUCAUUGAUAAGACCCCCAGACCGGAAUCCGCAUCCCCAAAAGCCCCAUGCCGAACCAGUUAAUGCUUUAUGCAAUGCCAGCCUGGCCAGCCAGAGCCAACAGAAAUACGUUAGUAGAAAGUGUCUGCAGCAGCGCAAAGACCCGACCAGCCAGCAACCAGCAGCCAGCAGCUCACCGAACUGGCCAACAGGGUACAAAAACAGUUGGAAGCCAAUGUUGGAUCGAACCCAAACAACUUGUUGCGCAGAGGCUGAGUCAAACUGCGACGCGUCGAGACCCCCACGAGCCACGGGCCAUGAGUAAUGACAUCUAUCGGAAAUGCGUGCAAAAUCCCUUGCACAAUAAAACAACACAAUCAACACGUCCGGUCCCAACUGCAAGUUGCACGGCGGCGGCGACGACCGAAGAAGGCAGCAGCAGCACCUCCAUUCAUUCGCUUGCAAGUUGUCGGUUCGGACUGAUUUCGUUCGGGAUGUGUUCGCAGCGAACAAGUGUCGGUUGGGGCCCCGGUUGGGGCUCGGGUCUCGCUGCUCGACUGCGCUGCUCACACGCACACAGACACACCGAACACAACACCGCACACCGCACACAUUUCCAGUUUACAGUUGAUCGAUCGAGCAUGCUGUGACGCUGAAUUCGCCCCAAAAGAGUCGUUUCGCCUUCGCCGCAGUCCGAUGCGUGAUAUGAAAUUUCUUUUUGUAACAAUUUACAUAAAAACUGAUUGAAAUCGAGAAUUAAUCAAAGACAAUCAAAUGCGAAAAGCGGAAGAACGUUUCAGACUAUUUCCAAAUUGACAGAUUCGGUUGUGAUUUUCAUAUUUGGACUGAAGAUACAACAUUUUUGGGGGGCACUUCCGCGUUGCAGCAGGCGGCGGGCGGCAGGCGGCAGGCGCAUGAAUAAUGAGUAAACAGAGACCAGACUUUGGCAAUUAAUCUGCCGACAGCCGAUCUCUAUCUCCCUCUCACUCCUUGGUUCAAGAACACUUAUUAAGCGUGUUUUAUUGCUAAAUUCAAAAGGUUAAUAAACAAUGUCGAAUGGCGCACAUGAAAAACGUCAUUUUAUCGCACAAAGAAAGCGGCUGCUAGUGGCAGAUAAAUGAGACAACUCCUCGGGCGGGGGAGGAGAGACUCUUGACGGUGGAUGCUGCUCUUUAUCUGUGAGUGCCCCUCGUUGUGGUAAUUCCUAAAAAGGCCACGCCAAGUGCAUUAAACAAUAAUAAAUGCGACAACUUCGUUGCGCCUCACUGUCCCGUCUCGUCGUCCCGUCCGUCUUUCUGCGCGUUGUUUUGAGUAAUAUGCAAAUACUCUUUAAAUACGCAGGCGCAUAAAUUAAGGCAAGGAAAUGCAACAGAAAUGGACAGCCACAGACAGCCACCUCCCCCGCCCCCCAGGAUCGGUGCCUCCAAGCCCGCCUCCGAAGGGGGUCAAACGCACAAAGAAAUCGCUGAAUCUGAAUCUGACUUAAUUUACAGUAAGCCGACUCGAGAGGAUGACUCUCCCAUCACACUUGGCCUCCAGCACCAGCCCGACUCUGUCCAGGAACCAGCGAAAAUUUCACUUGCCUUUUAUGGCCAAAUGUUAAUUUGUCUUUCGGGCCAUGACUGCUGCUGCUUGGCCAUUAAAUACACGACUGCCUACAAGCCAUUCAAAAGAAAGCGAGUCCAAGGAGUCCCCGCCGCCAUCAACCAACAACAGCCGCGUGGGCAGGACACUCCGACUGCCACUGACACUCUGGACAUAACCAUGGACUGAUGACUGUUUGGGAAUACCCGUGGAUCGGGGAAGUGAAGAGAUGAUUUACUGGCAAGAAAUUAAGACACUAAACCCCCACAAGAACGGAAGAACACCUAAAAUAAAGCCUCAAGAAAGUGAGACAAUCUAAGAUUGUCACAUGUAGAAAAUGCACAGAACACAUGAGCACAUUUUGGCAAACAGAGACCUAAACAGAGAUCAAUGUCAAUACAAGCCUACACGGAAUGUGCAAUUUAUGGGAAUACAGGAGGUUCUAGGGGAAAAGCGCGAGCAUGUUCCUCAAUAUGUUGGUGGAAAUCCCUUUUCAAAAGAAAAACUAAUGUUUAGUCUUCUUUAAGGUCAAACAUCACAAAAAUCAAGCAA
rnacentral:sRNA from 1 species